GAUGAAGAACGUAGCGAAAUGCGAUACGUAGUGUGAAUUGCAGAAUUCAGUGAAUCAUCGAAUCUUUGAACGCACAUUGCGCCCCUUGGUAUUCCGAGGGGCAUGCCUGUUCGAGCGUCAUUAUAACCCCUCAAGCUCGGCUUGGUGUUGGGGCCUGCCGCACGGGCAGCCCUUAAAAUCAGUGGCGGUGCCAUCUGGCUCUAAGCGUAGUAAUUCUUCUCGCUAUAGAGUCCCGGUGGAUGCUUGCCAUUAACCCCCAAUUUCAAUGGUUGACCUCGGAUCAGGUAGGGAUACCCGCUGAACUUAAGCAUAUCAAUAAGCGGAGGA
rnacentral:misc_RNA from 1 species